UACGGAGGGGGCAAGCGUUGUUCGGAAUUACUGGGCGUAAAGGGCGCGUAGGCGGCCGGUCUCGUCAGGCGUGAAAAUCCCGGGCUUAACCUGGGGACUGCGCUUGAGACUGACUGGCUUGAAUUCGGGAGAGGAUGGCGGAAUUCCCAGUGUAGAGGUGAAAUUCGUAGAUAUUGGGAAGAACACCGGUGGCGAAGGCGGCCAUCUGGCCCGUUAUUGACGCUGAGGCGCGAAAGCGUGGGGAGCAAACAGG
rnacentral:rRNA from 1 species